GGGGCGGGGGUUGGGGCAUAUGAACCCAAACCGGUGUGGAGCGGGGGUAGCGGCUCCAGUAGGAGGGGGGCCGAGGCGGGAUGAGCACCCGCGGCGGUUCCUAGGGUGCCGCUUGGGCGCGCUCGCUUUGGAGAGGACCAGCCGCUGGCAAGGUGAGUAGGAAAUGGCCUUGGCAGACCCCGGCAGUGGCAGCGCCCAACCCGGCUCAGACUUCCCGGAGAUUGUGGAGCUGAACGUUGGCGGUCAAGUCUACCUGACUCGCCGCAGCACUCUGCUGAGCGUCCCUAACUCGUUGCUCUGGGAGAUGUUCGCCCACAACGGUGCCCGGCCCUUGGCCCGCGACAGCAAGAACCGCGUCUUCGUCGACCGAGACGGCUUCCUCUUCCGUUACAUCCUCGACUACAUGAGAGACCAGUGCCUCGUGCUGCCGGAAAACUUCCCGGAGAGGGGCCGGCUGCGGCGCGAAGCCGAGUACUUCCAACUCCCUGAGCUGGCCCGGACAUUGGCGCCCAAAACCGGCCAGCAGGACUCAGACGAGGAGGGCCAAAGUGACUCCGAGGAUCUUUCCCCUGGGCCUGACGCCCUGGGAAUCUUGCCUGACGGACAAAGCACAAGGAUACCCGGCUUCAUCACCAUCGCCUACCGGGGCUCAUACGCCCUGGGCCGGGAUGGCCAGGCAGACGCCAAAUUUCGCCGGGUGGCAAGGAUCACGGUCUGCGGCAAGACAGCACUGGCCAGGGAGGUCUUCGGUGAGGCGCUAAACGAGAGUCGGGACCCCGACCGGGCGCCGGGGCGCUACACGUCCCGCUACUACCUCAAGUUCACAUUCCUGGAGCAAGCCUUUGACCGGCUGGCCGGCGCCGGGUUCCAGAUGGUGGCUAGCAAUUCGACGGGGACCUGCACUGUCAAGCCGGCGGACGGCAAGAUCUGGACCUCGUACGCCGAAUACGUCUUCUACCGUCCUCCGGCUUGUCAGGAUUCCCAAAAGGUGUCAGGAGAACACCCCCAUUUCCCAGCCUCUGGCUCAGCGUGGCGCCUUCUGCAGCACCGGUGGGAACAGAGAAGGACGUCCGGAAAAGCCUCGCCUCUUCCUCUGAGCCCAUUUUGGACCUCCGGACAGAUGCAGCACCUGUGCUUCCAGCGUCCACCAUCCCCACCAGCACCACACCAACCGCCCCGCCAACUGCCACGGAGCACCCCCCCACCGCCACCCUCAAAAGAUCCCCCGUGCUCCCAGCCGGGGCCACCACCGAACCGGCCCCACCAGACCUACCCCAGAGCUCCAAGGAAGCCACCCAGGAGAGACCUUUCUCUUCCGCCAACUUCUCCCCUGACCCAGAUCCGGCUUUGCCCCCUCCUCCGGAUCAAGACCCCCUCCCGGAAACCAGGGGAUCUUGGGGGUUCUUGCCGUGGCCGGAGGCCCCUGAAGAGUGCGGCCCGCCCCGGCCCACCACCUUGGACUUCUCCAAGCCCCUCCAGAAGCUGGAGGAGGGGAAGCAGAUGGGCGUUGAGGAGAACGGGCUGGAGCGUGGCCCGCCGCCUCCCGGCGAAGAGAGGAAGGCUCUGCAGUUGGAGCUGGGCAAAUGCAUUGAGGACUUUCGGAGAAUCCGAGUGCCCGCCUCGUUCCCCAACAAGAAACGGGCGUGGCAAAGCGAGCUGCUCCAGAAAUACCAGCUCUGAGGGACUCUCGUGGAUCCAUCAAACGGAAGCAAUCAUCAAUGGACCGUACUAUAAAAUAAAGGAGACAGUUGUAGAUGAGAAAAAUAAAAAUGGAUUUUCCCCCCUGACCUGCAGUGGUGAUAGUCGUCGUUUGGAUGGGGGGCUUUGAUCCAUUUCCGCGGUAAUGCCAUCCAUCCAUCCAUCCGGAGCUGAACCGGGUUCCGCACAGUCGCGAAAACAAAGAAACCGAAAAAGCGGCAAACUGAAUCUGUUUCAGAAGUCUGUUUGACGUCCAAAAUGUUCAGAAGCUGAGACGCAGAUUCCAGUUGGCACAGGCACCCCGGAAAGGACCACCAACAGCUGCGUCGGACAUUCAGCUUCCAAAAAACGUCCAGAAACCAGAACACUUACUUCUGGGUUUUGGGCAUUUGGGAACCAGCGUGUUUGGGUACCAAGGCGCUUGGGAACCAGAGUGUUUGGGUACCAAGACAUUUGGAAACCAGGGCGUUUGCUACCAAGGUGUUUGGGUACCAAGGCAUUUGGGAACCAAGGUGUUUAGAAACCAGGGUGUUUGGGAACCAAGGCGUUUGGGAACCAGGGUGCUUGGGAACCAGGGCUGAUGCAGUCGAUGUUUGUUGGAAGUACGAAGGUUAUCGCCUCUGGCAUGCAGAGCAUCCCUGGGUGUGUUCGCAGGAAUGCAUUUCGGAUUAAUUCGAUUUUCCGGUCCAUUGUGAUUCCCUCCAUGCUCCCGCCCCCCAGCGCAUUGUCCCAGCAUGUCGGUUGUGGCCAAGACAGUCUGCCAAGGGAAAUGCUGUUGUUGUUGUACUGUUAAAGGCUGUAUUUUGCAGCUUCAUUGCUUUCCAGGAACAGUUGCCAGGAAAACCCGGCUCAGCAAACACACCUCACCAAGGAGGCCAGUAGUGGGUGGAAAAAUAGGUGCAAUCCAGCACAAAACACGUACACUGUAUUAACUGUUUCCAUGCUGUGGCGGCCACUGAGCAAGAUGACGUCAGUUUUUUUAGAUACUUUCAAUGUUUCAGGAAGAAAAAAACCGUUACACACAAACGUAUUUUCAUAGAACCAGUGCUUUUUAUUUUAUUUUAUUUUUUAAUGUUUAGGAGUACUCUCAUUUCCCAACUCAUCUCGAAACACAGUCCAUUUUCGGAGGAUGCCAGCAAGGUUGAACCUUUCUGUAA